GAUUGUCCAGAGUGUUCAUAUAAGGAGUGCCCAGAUAAUUUGUGUGGUGAUACAUGUGUAGAGCAGUGUGAUUGUUCCAAAAAUGCAUACUGUGAUAGACUUCAUUGUUGUGUUUGCAAACCCGGUUUCUAUGGAUUUUUAUGUAAUAAAAGUAUGUUUUGAAGAUUAAUAUUGGUUUUUUAAGUUUAAAGUUCUCAUUAGGAUGAAACAUACAGUAAACAGAAAAUCUAAAAUACAAGUAUCGAAUGGUUUUGCAUAAGUUUUAACCAUCUUAUUAUAAGUGUUUUACUUUUUAAUUAUCAUUGAAAGAAAAUAAGACUUAACAAUAUUUGUUUCCCAAGGUACAUACACGAGACUAUGAAACUGAAUUUAAGUAAAUGUUUAAAAAGGCCCUAGUAUGCGACAAAUUUGAUGGCAAUUGACCAUACUAUUCAGAAAUUUUACAUUGAAGCACUUAAAAAGGGUCCAGUUUUUAUAAGUGCUAUCUUUUACUUAACAAUUUUGGCAGGAGACCAUAAUAACUUGAUAUAGUCAUAACAUAUAUUUGAAAAGAUAAUAAGUACUUUGAUGAAUUUAUUUUGAAUUUAAUUUAGCAUGUUUUACUGGGUUUUAUGGUCCUGGAUGUAGACAAAAGUGCAUGUGCCAAAGCCAGCAGAUGUGCG
rnacentral:lncRNA from 1 species